CGGGUGAGUAACACGUGGGUGACCUGCCCUUAGCUCUGGGAUAAGCCUGGGAAACUGGGUCUAAUACCGGAUAUGACUCCAUGACGCAUGUUUGUGGGGUGGAAAGCCUUGUGCGGCUAGGGAUGGGCCCGCGGCCUAUCAGCUUGUUGGUGGGGUGAUGGCCUACCAAGGCGACGACGGGUAGCCGGCCUGAGAGGGCGACCGGCCACACUGGGACUGAGACACGGCCCAG
rnacentral:rRNA from 1 species